CGGAUUGUAGUCUGCAACCCGACUACAUGAAGCUGGAAUCGCUAGUAAUCGCGGAUCAGAAUGCCGCGGUGAAUACGUUCCCGGGUCUUGUACACACCGCCCGUCACACCAUGGGAGUCGGAAAUGCCCGAAGUCUGUGACCCAACCGAAAGGAGGGAGCAGCCGAAGGCAGGUCGGAUGACUGGGGUGAAGUCGUAACAAGGUAAC
rnacentral:rRNA from 1 species